GAUGAACGCUGGCGGCGUGCCUAAUACAUGCAAGUCGAGCGAACAGACGAGGAGCUUGCUCCUCUGACGUUAGCGGCGGACGGGUGAGUAACACGUGGAUAACCUCCCUAUAAGACUGGGAUAACUUCGGGAAACCGGAGCUAAUACCGGAUACUAUAUUGAACCGCAUGGUUCAAUAGUGAAAGACGGUUUUGCUGUCACUUAUAGAUGGAUCCGCGCCGCAUUAGCUAGUUGGUAAGGUAACGGCUUACCAAGGCAACGAUGCGUAGCCGACCUGAGAGGGGAGGCGGCCACACUGGAACGGAGACACGGUCCAGACUCCUACGGGAGGCAGCAGUAGGGAAUCUUCCGCAAUGGGCGAAAGCCUGACGGAACAACGCCGCGUGAGUGAUGAAGGUCUGCGGAUCGUAAAACUCUGUUAUUAGGGAAGAACAAAUGUGUAAGUAACGAUGCACUUCUUGACGGUACCUAAUCAGAAAGCCACGGCUAACUACGUG
rnacentral:rRNA from 1 species